rnacentral:piRNA from 1 species
UCACUUCUAUCCCACAUCAAUCACAGGGUGA